rnacentral:rRNA from 1 species
GAUGAACGCUGGCGGCGUGCCUAAUACAUGCAAGUCGAGCGAACAGACGAGGAGCUUGCUCCUCUGACGUUAGCGGCGGACGGGUGAGUAACACGUGGAUAACCUACCUAUAAGACUGGGAUAACUUCGGGAAACCGGAGCUAAUACCGGAUAAUAUAUUGAACCGCAUGGUUCAAUAGUGAAAGACGGUUUUGCUGUCACUUAUAGAUGGAUCCGCGCCGCAUUAGCUAGUUGGUAAGGUAACGGCUUACCAAGGCAACGAUGCGUAGCCGACCUGAGAGGGUGAUCGGCCACACUGGAAGUGAGACACGGUCCAGGCUCCUACGGGAGGCAGCAGUAGGGAAUCUUCCGCAAUGGGCGAAAGCUUGACGGAGCAACGCCGCGUGAGUGAUGAAGGUCUUCGGAUCGUAAAACUCUGUUAUUAGGGAAGAACAAAUGUGUAAGUAACUAUGCACGUCUUGACGGUACCUAAUCAGAAAGCCACGGCUAACUACGUG